rnacentral:rRNA from 1 species
GAUGAACGCUGGCGGCGUGCCUAAUACAUGCAAGUCGAGCGAACGGACGAGAAGCUUGCUUCUCUGAUGUUAGCGGCGGACGGGUGAGUAACACGUGGAUAACCUACCUAUAAGACUGGGAUAACUUCGGGAAACCGGAGCUAAUACCGGAUAAUAUUUUGAACCGCAUGGUUCAAAAGUGAAAGACGGUCUUGCUGUCACUUAUAGAUGGAUCCGCGCUGCAUUAGCUAGUUGGUAAGGUAACGGCUUACCAAGACAACGAUGCAUAGCCGACCUGAGAGGGUGAUCGGCCACACUGGAACUGAGACACGGUCCAGACUCCUACGGGAGGCAGCAGUAGGGAAUCUUCCGCAAAGGGCGAAAGCCUGACGGAGCAACGCCGCGUGAGUGAUGAAGGUCUUCGGAUCGUAAAACUCUGUUAUUAGGGAAGAACAUAUGUGUAAGUAACUGUGCACAUCUUGACGGUACCUAAUCAGAAAGCCACGGCUAACUACGUG